rnacentral:rRNA from 1 species
CACGUAGGGGGCGAGCGUUGUCCGGAUUUAUUGGGCGUAAAGAGCUCGUAGGUGGCUCGGUAAGUCGGGUGUGAAAUUUCGAGGCUCAACCUCGAGACGCCACCCGAUACUGCUGUGGCUAGAGUCCGGUAGGGGAGCGUGGAAUUCCUGGUGUAGCGGUGAAAUGCGCAGAUAUCAGGAGGAACACCAGCGGCGAAGGCGGCGCUCUGGGCCGGUACUGACGCUGAGACGCGAAAGCGUGGGGAGCGAACAGG